rnacentral:ribozyme from 2 species
GCCCAUAAUUAUAAUGCCAUAUGUAUAAGAGGCCAUGUGCUUAUCCAAGACAAGAUCUUAUCUUGCACGUGAUGCUUAGUCACGUUUCUCAUGACCUGUGUUUGGAGAUAUCUGGAAUAGAAAUCUGAGGAGUCUGCCAUCCAGAGCUAA